ACAGGUUUUGAUAAAUCUCCCCCAUAGUGAGGAAUAAGUGAGCCGAGUCCUUAACAAGUAAUCAUAUCUCUUUUUUGGCUAGUAAGUGCACUGGAUGCCACCAUCAACAUCAUCCCUAUGAUUAAGACACAGAGAACCUCUAUAAUGUGGUUACAGCUCAUACUUUGUGUAGAGACACAGUCCUUGGGCUUUUGAAGGACCACAUAACUGUUUGGCCAAAUUUCCUGGUGUUAAGAAAAAGUAUGAAUUCAACCUAGUAUAGAAGAUGUACCGCUAACUUCAACUUUGAAUACUGACAAGGUUUACAUGAAAUCUUGGCAGAUAGUCUCGCAACCACACACAAUUCCAAGAAAUCCAGAUCUGCAUGUACUAUAUUGAAGAAGAACCAAACUCCCAAGAAAUAGAUAUGGGUGCAAGCUGGUCAAGCCCAAUUAAGGCCCCCACAUAAACAAAAGAAAGAAAAAAUAAGAAAAGCAAAUUAAUUCAGCCUGCUACAAUGACAAGCGCUUGGAGCAGGACAUGCCCACUCAGAUGGGUUUACCAAAUGGGUAGGUCAUGCACUGAGCAUCAGCAUGAGCUUCAUCAGGAUCAGUAGGGGACUGAGUGUGGAUUUGUUUCAGAAGUUUCCCAGAUUGUCCAAACAAAUCAUGUACAGGAGCACAGAUUUCUGUCAAAGCAGAGUCCCUGCACAUAGUGUGGCUAGGACGGUGAAGAGUGCCUGGCCUUGAAAAAGUAGAAAGUGGA